rnacentral:rRNA from 1 species
GAUGAACGCUAGCUACAGGCUUAACACAUGCAAGUCGAGGGACCGGCGCACGGGGGAGUAACACGUAUCCAACCUGCCCUUUACUCGGGGAUAGCCUUUCGAAAGAAAGAUUAAUACCCGAUCUAACGGAUGGGGAUGCGUUCCAUUAGGUUGUUGGUGAGGUAACGGCUCACCAAGCCUUCGAUGGAUAGGGGUUCGGAGAGGAAGGGCCCCCACAUUGUAACUGAGAAACGGUCCAAACUCCUACGGGAGGCAGCAGUGAGGAAUAUUGGUCAAUGGGCGGUAGCCUGAACCAGCCAAGUAGCGUGAAGGAUGAAGGCUUAUGGGUCGUAAACUUCUUUUAUAUAAGAAUAUGUAUUAUAUGAAUAAGGAGCGGCUAACUCCGGGCCAGCAGCCGCGGUAAUUC